rnacentral:rRNA from 1 species
UACGGAGGGUGCGAGCGUUGUUCGGAAUCAUUGGGCGUAAAGCGCGUGUAGGCGGCUUGGUAAGUCGGGUGUGAAAUCCCGGGGCCCAACCCCGGAACUGCAUUCGAAACUACCUCGCUAGAGUCCCGGAGAGGAAGGCGGAAUUCCCGGUGUAGAGGUGAAAUUAGUAGAUAUCGGGAGGAACACCAGCGGCGAAGGCGGCCUUCUGGACGGUGACUGACGCUGAGACGCGAAAGCGUGGGGAGCAAACAGG